UCUUCCACAAUGGACGGAAGUCUGAUGGAGCAACGCCGCGUGAGCGAAGAAGGUUUUCGGAUCGUAAACCUCUGUUGUAAGGGAAGAACACGUACGGGAGUCACGGCCCGUACCUUGCCGGUACCUUAUCAGUAAGCCACGGCUAACUACGUGCCAGCAGCCGAGGUAAUACGUAGGUGGCAAUCGUUGUCCGGAAUUAUUGGGAGUAAAGUGAGCGCAGGCGGUCCUUUAAGUCUGAUGUGAAAGCCCACGGCUCAACCGUGGAGGGUCAUUGGAAACUGGAGGACUUGAGUACAGAAGAGGAAAGCGGAAUUCCACGUGUAGCGGUGAAAUGCGUAGAGAUGUGGAGGAACACCAGUGGCGAAGGCGGCUUUCUGGUCUGUAACUGACGCUGAGGCGCGAAAGCGUGGGGAGCAAACA
rnacentral:rRNA from 1 species